rnacentral:lncRNA from 1 species
UUUUUUUUUCUUUCUUCUGCUUUCGUCUUCUUCAGUUCUGGACUUCACUGCUGGUCGACCAAAAUAGUUCUCGUUUUUCUCUUUUUUUUUCUUUGUUCUUCUUCUUUUCUUUCUUUUCUUUCACAUAUAUAUAUACAUAUAUAUAUGAAAGAUUUUGUGUAUUUGAUUUUUAAAUGUAUAUUUUCAGUUUAUUGAUUAUAUUUUUUUGAGGCGUAAUUUAUGUAAU